rnacentral:rRNA from 1 species
GAUAAACGCUGGCGGUGUACAUAAGACAUGCAAGUCGAACGGGAGAAACUAAGAUGAAUUUAUUCAACUUAGCAGACACCGUGGCGGAUGGGUGAGUAACACGUAAGCAGCCUGCCUAAAGGAGGGGAAUAACAGAGAGAAAUUUCUGAUAAUACCGCAUAUACCAAAGUAUCGCAUGGUACAAUUGGGAAAGAUUUAUCACUUUUAGAUGGGCUUGCGUCUGAUUAGCUAGUUGGUGAGAUAACAGCUCACCAAGGCGACGAUCAGUAGCCGGAUUGAGAGGUUGAACGGCCACAUUGGGACUGAGACACGGCCCAGACUCCUACGGGAGGCAGCAGUCGGGAAUAUUGCACAAUGGAGGAAACUCUGAUGCAGUGACACCGCGUAUAGGAAGAAGGCCUUAGGGUUGUAAGCUAUUGUCGUGUGAGAAGAAAAUGACUAUCACAGGAGGAAGCCCUGGCUAAAUAUGUGCCAGCAGCCGCGGUAAUACAUAUGGGGCGAGCGUUAUCCGGAUUUAUUGGGUGUAAAGGGUUCGUAGGCGGGAAAGUAAGUCAGUAUGUGAAAUCCCUCGGCUCAACCGAGGAACUGCAAUUGAAACUAUUUUUCUUGAGUACUGGAGGGGAAAGUGGAAUUCUUAGUGUAGCGGUGAAAUGCGUAGAUAUUAGGAAGAACACCAGUGGCGAAGGCGACUUUCUGGACAGUAACUGACGCUGAGGAACGAAAGUGUGGGGAGCAAACAGGAUUAGAUACCCUGGUAGUCCACACUGUAAACGAUGGAUACUAGGGGUUGGCAUAGGAAAUGUCGGUCCCGCAGUUAACGCAUUAAGUAUCCCACCUGGGGAGUACGACCGCAAGGUUAAAACUCAAAGGAAUUGACGGGGGCCCGCACAAGCAGUGGGGUAUGUGGUUUAAUUCGACGCAACGCGAAGAACCUUACCAGGGCUUGACAUGAUUAGGAAUAUAUAAGAGAUUAUAUAGCUCUACGGAGUCUAAUUACAGGUGGUGCAUGGUUGUCGUCAGCUCGUGUCGUGAGAUGUCGGGUUAAGUCCCUAAACGAGCGCAACCCUUAUCGCUAGUUGCUAACAUUAAGUUGAGGACUCUAGUGAGACUGCCGUUUAUUAAAACGGAGGAAGGAGAGGAUGACGUCAAAUCAUCAUGCCCUUUAUGUCCUGGGCUACACACGUACUACAAUGGGUAGGACAAAGGGAAGCAACGGAGUGAUCCUGAGCAAAACCCAAAACCUAUUCACAGUUCGGAUUGAAGGCUGAAAUUCGCCUUCAUGAAGCCGGAAUUGCUAGUAAUGGCAGGUCAGCAUACUGCCGUGAAUACGUUCCCGGGCCU